rnacentral:rRNA from 1 species
CCCUUAGAUGUUCUGGGCCGCACGCGCGCUACACUGAUGCAUUCAACGAGUUUCUUCCUGGUCCGAGAGGAAUGGGUAACCUUUUGAAAGUGCAUCGUGAUAGGGAUAGACUAUUGCAAUUAUUGGUCUUCAACGAGGAAUUCCUAGUAGACGUAGUUCAUCAGACUGCAUCGAUUACGUCCCUGCCCUUUGUACACACCGCCCGUCGCUACUACCGAUUGAAUGGUUUAGUGAGGCCUUCUGACUGGCGCCGCUACUCUGGCAACAGAGCGGCGGAUGCCGGGAAGUUGGUCAAACUUGAUCAUUUAGAGGAAGUAAAAGUCGUAACA